GCCGUCCGCUACAAAACUACAUCACGUACCAACCGUACACGUGUCCCACGUCUUCAUUAACUCCCUGGAUUAGCCAAGGCGUCGCCUCGGUUACGAAAUCCAUCAUUACUCGCAUUAAUGACGAGAAGACGGCUAGGCUUAGGAGACAAGCCUCCAGACGCUAACCCUCUCAGAGUUAGCCACGUGUCAACCGUCAUCAUUCUUUGGCUUCCAAGGGAAGUCACCACCUGACAAGUAAACCCCCAACCAUGGCAAGUCUCCGCUGAGCGAAACCCCGCCAGCGGAUCCUCACUUGUCAUCUUCCAAGUGACGGAGUCUCCGCUGAGCGAAACCCCGCCAGCGGAUCCUCACUUGCAUCUCCCAAGUGACGGAGUCUCCGCUGAGCGAAACCCCGCCAGCGGAUCCUCACUUGCAUCUCCCAAGUGACGGAGUCUCCGCUGAGCGAAACCCCGCCAGCGGAUCCUCACUUGUCAUCUCCCAAGUGACGGAGUCUCCGCUGAGCGAAACCCCGCCAGCGGAUCCUCACUUGCAUCUCCCAAGUGACGGAGUCUCCGCUGAGCGAAACCCCGCCAGCGGAUCCUCACUUGUCAUCUUCCAAGUGACGGAGUCUCCGCUGAGCGAAACCCCGCCAGCGGAUCCUCACUUGCAUCUCCCAAGUGACGGAGUCUCCGCUGAGCGAAACCCCGCCAGCGGAUCCUCACUUGCAUCUCCCAAGUGACGGAGUCUCCGCUGAGCGAAACCCCGCCGGCGGAGCUUCUCUCCUCAUUUGGUAAACGGGGCGUCCUCCGCUACACAGCGCACCGCUGGCUGACCCCAUUUCUCAUCUGACAAGCUGCGUACUUUAUUCAGCGCAACACCGCUCAAUAAAAUACCAAGCACGUCUACUUGACGCUGCUUCCUGCUACAUCUAGCGGGGGGACUUCCGCCAGCGGCGGAUCCCGAGGCCACGCCUCUCUGACAACGCCGCCACGCGGGGUUACGGUCAGAAUGUCCCUACGGGACACGGGGACUAGUCAACAGUCUACGACAGCCCUGAUCAGGUACGUUGACCCCCG
rnacentral:lncRNA from 1 species